rnacentral:misc_RNA from 1 species
UAAGAGAGCUAAGAGGCUCCUCUCUCUACGAACUCGGGCCAGCAGUAAAACCGUAUUACUGCAGCCGCAUGGGAUUUACCUGUGGUUAGGCGCGGGCCCCGUGACGUUCCACCGUUGCUGCCGCUGCGGCAUCGAGUGCCGCCGACCUGCGUUUCGUUGCAGCUACCCGUGAUAAAUACGCCAUACAUCCAGCAGAGAUACGUACACACGAAUACGCACGACGACGCUGAUUUGCCUUUGCGCCUUUGCCCGCUGUACCUACCUCCAUCGGGACCAUCCACCGGUCACGGCUGAUCUUUCAAAAGUCCGGGCUGAAAGUUGAGCACGGAUUUUCCCGGCUAAUUGGAAGGACGAUUAAAAGUCAAAGGAUGCGGGAGUCCGAGGCCGUUACUGCCGGCGCGACGCGAUGCGAAGGAGGGUGUUAUUUUAGGUAAAAGGAAGAAAAAAGGAGAGGAGAAAUAAAAUAUAAAAUGAAAAAUAAAAUCACGAUGCUCCCGGCUGCAGCAGCAACAGCAGCAGCAGCAGCAGCAGCAGAUCUUCUCUUCGGAGUCU